GGCCUGGUGGUGUAAUGGUAACACUUCUGCUUUUUAUUUGGCUCUUUGCGCGAGUAGACCUUUUGGUAGGAGAUUCUUGUUUGAUUCAAGGCCAGGCCA